UCAUCCAACAUGCAGCAACAUGUUCCACAACCUUGGUGCAGCCGCUGAUAAUUUCAGUUUCUAAUGUUGUAGGUAGAAGAUUAGAAAUUGAAAUGAUCAGUGGCUGCACCAAGGCUGUGGAACAUGUUGCUGCAUGAUGGAUGA